GAUGAACGCUGGCGGCGUGCUUAACACAUGCAAGUCGAACGGAAAGGCCCAAGCUUGCUUGGGUACUCGAGUGGCGAACGGGUGAGUAACACGUGGGUGAUCUGCCCCGCACUUCGGGAUAAGCCUGGGAAACUGGGUCUAAUACCGGAUAGGACAGUGGUUUGGAUGCCAUUGUGGAAAGUUUUUUCGGUGUGGGAUGAGCUCGCGGCCUAUCAGCUUGUUGGUGGGGUAAUGGCCUACCAAGGCGUCGACGGGUAGCCGGCCUGAGAGGGUGUACGGCCACAUUGGGACUGAGAUACGGCCCAGACUCCUACGGGAGGCAGCAGUGGGGAAUAUUGCACAAUGGGCGCAAGCCUGAUGCAGCGACGCCGCGUGGGGGAUGACGGCCUACGGGUUGUAAACUCCUUUCGCUAGGGACGAAGCGUUAUGUGACGGUACCUAGAGAAGAAGCACCGGCUAACUACGUG
rnacentral:rRNA from 1 species